rnacentral:rRNA from 1 species
UGGGGAAUAUUGCGCAAUGGGCGAAAGCCUGACGCAGCGACGCCGCGUGAGGGAUGAAGGUUUUCGGAUCGUAAACCUCUGUCAGAAGGGAAGAAACCGCACUGUGCUAAUCAGCAGUGCCUUGACGUUACCUUCAAAGGAAGCACCGGCUAACUCCGUGCCAGCAGCCGCGGUAAUACGGAGGGUGCAAGCGUUAAUCGGAAUUACUGGGCGUAAAGCGCACGUAGUCUGAUUUGUAAGUCAGGGGUGAAAUCCCACGGCUCAACCGUGAAACUGCGUUUGAUACUGCUUAGCUUGAACACGGGAGAGGGUGGCGGAAUUCCAGGUGUAGGAGUGAAAUCCGUAGAUAUCUGGAGGAACAUCAGUGGCGAAGGCGGCCACCUGGACCGGUAUUGACGCUGAGGUGCGAAAGCGUGGGGAGCAAACAGG